UGUUGGCUUAGAAGCAGCCAUCAUUUAAAGAAAGCGUAAUAGCUCACUGGUCGAGUCGGCCUGCGCGGAAGAUGUAACGGGGCUAAACCAUGCACCGAAGCUGCGGCAGCGACACUGUGUGUUGUUGGGUAGGGGAGCGUUCUGUAAGCCUGCGAAGGUGGCCUGUGAGGGUUGCUGGAGGUAUCAGAAGUGCGAAUGCUGACAUAAGUAACGAUAAAGCGGGUGAAAAGCCCGCUCGCCGGAAGACCAAGGGUUCCUGUCCAACGUUAAUCGGGGCAGGGUGAGUCGACCCCUAAGGCGAGGCCGAAAGGCGUAGUCGAUGGGAAACGGGUUAAUAUUCCCGUACUUGGUGUUACUGCGAAGGGGGGACGGAGAAGGCUAUGUUGGCCGGGCGACGGUUGUCCCGGUUUAAGCGUGUAGGUGUGUGUUCCAGGUAAAUCCGGUUCACUUUAACACUGAGGCGUGACGACGAGGCACUACGGUGCUGAAGCAACAAAUGCCCUGCUUCCAGGAAAAGCCUCUAAGCAUCAGGUAACAUCAAAUCGUACCCCAAACCGACACAGGUGGUCAGGUAGAGAAUACCAAGGCGCUUGAGAGAACUCGGGUGAAGGAACUAGGCAAAAUGGUGCCGUAACUUCGGGAGAAGGCACGCUGACACGUAGGUGAAGUGAUUUACUCAUGGAGCUGAAGUCAGUCGAAGAUACCAGCUGGCUGCAACUGUUUAUUAAAAACACAGCACUGUGCAAACACGAAAGUGGACGUAUACGGUGUGACGCCUGCCCGGUGCCGGAAGGUUAAUUGAUGGGGUCAGCGCAAGCGAAGCUCCUGAUCGAAGCCCCGGUAAACGGCGGCCGUAACUAUAACGGUCCUAAGGUAGCGAAAUUCCUUGUCGGGUAAGUUCCGACCUGCACGAAUGGCGUAAUGAUGGCCAGGCUGUCUCCACCCGAGACUCAGUGAAAUUGAACUCGCUGUGAAGAUGCAGUGUACCCGCGGCAAGACGGAAAGACCCCGUGAACCUUUACUAUAGCUUGACACUGAACAUUGAGCCUUGAUGUGUAGGAUAGGUGGGAGGCUUUGAAGUGUGGACGCCAGUCUGCAUGGAGCCGACCUUGAAAUACCACCCUUUAAUGUUUGAUGUUCUAACGUGGACCCGUUACCCGGGUUGCGGACAGUGUCUGGUGGGUAGUUUGACUGGGGCGGUCUCCUCCUAAAGAGUAACGGAGGAGCACGAAGGUUGGCUAAUCCUGGUCGGACAUCAGGAGGUUAGUGCAAUGGCAUAAGCCAGCUUGACUGCGAGCGUGACGGCGCGAGCAGGUGCGAAAGCAGGUCAUAGUGAUCCGGUGGUUCUGAAUGGAAGGGCCAUCGCUCAACGGAUAAAAGGUACUCCGGGGAUAACAGGCUGAUACCGCCCAAGAGUUCAUAUCGACGGCGGUGUUUGGCACCUCGAUGUCGGCUCAUCACAUCCUGGGGCUGAAGUAGGUCCCAAGGGUAUGGCUGUUCGCCAUUUAAAGUGGUACGCGAGCUGGGUUUAGAACGUCGUGAGACAGUUCGGUCCCUAUCUGCCGUGGGCGCUGGAGAACUGAGGGGGGCUGCUCCUAGUACGAGAGGACCGGAGUGGACGCAUCACUGGUGUUCGGGUUGUCAUGCCAAUGGCACUGCCCGGUAGCUAAAUGCGGAAGAGAUAAGUGCUGAAAGCAUCUAAGCACGAAACUUGCCCCGAG
rnacentral:rRNA from 1 species